rnacentral:misc_RNA from 1 species
CUCUCAAGUGUGCCCUGUAGGCAC